GCCUACGGCCAUACCACCCUGAAAGCGCCCGAUCUCGUCUGAUCUCGGAAGCUAAGUAGGGACGGGCUUGGUUAGUACCUGGAUGGGAGACCGCCUGGGAAUACCAGGUGUUGUAGGCU
rnacentral:rRNA from 1 species